rnacentral:ncRNA from 1 species
GUUUCAGGGCGGGGUGAGAUUCCCCACUGGCGGUAUCGGGACGAGCGUCCCCAAGCCCGCGAACCGCAAGAGCGGCCGACCUGGUGAGACUCCAGGGCCAACGGUUACAGUCCGGAUGGGAGAAA